UCGAAGAGGCUUUUGCAUGAAGUGCUACUGGUUUCAGUGUGCAGAUGGGACGCUGCCAGCCCCUCCUUUACGUGGAAAACAGAGAGAAUAGCAGGAGAAAAUGGGGAUGCUGAGAAAUCUGAUUUGCAGAGGGUGUGGUUUAGUGGGAAGAGAAUGGAGUGAGCAUGAAUCCCAGCCCAAGCAGGACUAUCAGGGUGAUGUUGACGCAUUCUUUAACUUUCCAGAACCAUCGAGGCCUUGGCUCCAAAAUGAAGGGCUGGACUAGGAGAAGGCUAAGGUCGCGUCUCACUCUGAUUCUAGGGACUCAGGAGGUCAAGAGCCAGCGCUCCCGUGGAGUGGGAGAACAGAGCCCCAAACUGCCCUACCCUGACCUCCCCAUUUGACCAAGUGAUAUUUUCUUCUCCUUAAAUAGUCCCUGGGGACAUCUCUCUCAGGGCACUUUCCAGCCUGAUGCCACCUGCAUGCGGUUCCCAAGCCCCCCAUCUCCCUUCUGUGCCACACCAUUCCUUCUUCACCUUCUUCACUGCUCUGCUCAAAUAUUUGCUGUUCAGUGCCAUCUUUUUAGCUCUGGGAACUACUCACAGGGGAAGUUUUUAAUCUUGCAAUUUUGUUUUAGCGUCUUUUUCUCCCCUGUCCUAGGAAGACCUGACUGAGACUGUGUACCACCAUCUGGCAUUAACUCACUUCUCUCACCUCUGAACGGACCCGUGAUACGAAGCUCAAGCUGCUGGAUAGUGUAAAGGAGAUGAUGUCUGCAGGACAGUGAGCACAGAUCCUCUGUAGAUGCUGAGAUUCUUGUGGACAGUGGCAAGGUCUUUUGUCUUGUGCAUCCCCAGUGUGAGCAUGGACCUAGCACAUCACAGAAACUCCACUAAUGUGACUGGAUAGAUAAAUGGUGAACCAAGUACUCCACAGUGGGACCACGACUGGCUUUUCAAGCAUCCAGAUACUUCCAGUAGAGUCAAUGAGGGUCGUGAUGCUGUGGUUGUGACGAGAGGAAGUAGUGUCACCAAGCUCUGUUUGAUUGACUAAAGUCAGGCCAUUCAUUUGAUGGGCCCUGGGACGAUCAGCAGGAUUCCUUCCUGGCUCUGUAUCCUGCCUUCCUCAGGACCGCCCAGCUGCAAUGUGCGACACUCCCAGGUGCUGCUGAGGACGAUUCGGAGCCGGGAUGCUCUUGAGAGGGACUUAGGGCCCUUCACCUCACCUUGCAUCUCCGGGGACGGUUCGUUACCAACCUCUUCCACCCUGAUGCUCUGGCAUGACAAUUGAUUCUGGCAGGAAAAAAGGAGGAGGAUGAAGGGGACCCGACAGGCUUUAAUGAUUAAUGUGGGACGAGGAACUGCCCGCCUUUCUCUGCAGCCACCCAGGCCUUUGGAAUGUUCAUUCGGAAGGCGAGGAAAAGAGUAACGAGAAAAAAGAAAAGCCCCAAAGAAACAAAUUCUGAUCGUGUCAUUAUCAUCCUCGUCCCUUCUGUGGCUUCUCAUCGUUCGUUUUCAGGAUAAGGAGCACAAAGUUUUUUGCCACUGCCUUCAUGGCCCUGUGUGGUAUGGUCCCUCCCACAAUGCCAGCCUUUUGUGUCACCAAGCUCGGUCACUAUUCAUUUCUAUGCCUGCCUGCUCUGCCACUUUAAAUCAACACUCAUUUGUUAUCUCACAAUUGGGUAGGUCCAAGUUCAGGCGCAGCGUGACUGGCUUCUCUGCUCAGGAUAUCACAAGGCCGACUCCUCUUGUUGGCUAAACUGAGAUCUCGUCUGGAGGCUCUGAGGAAAAAUCCACUUUCUAAGCAGUAUGGGUUGUCUCUCUUCUCCCCCUCCCCCGAAUUCAGAAUCAUAGAAUGUGACCAAAUACCACAAAUUAGACCCAAACCCAAACCCAGUCCCUCAGAAUGUGGCCUUAGUUGGACAUGGGGUCUUUACAGAGUUAAAAUAAAGUUAUAAUCCUAUAUGACUGGUGUCCUUGUAAAAAGAAGAAAUGAUAUCACAGAGACAGACAUGUUAGAGGGAGGAAGAUGAGACAAAGGUGGGAGACAAAGGCCAUCAAUAAGCCAAGAAGAGAGAACUGGAGCAGAACUGUCCUUCACAGCCUUCAGAAGGAACCAACCCUGCCCAUGCCUCCAUCCUGGACUUCCAGCCUUCUGAAAUGUGAGACGUUAAAUGCCAACGUUAUGGAGACCCUAGGAAAUGAACACGCAAGCUCGUUGUUGCUGUUGGCGGAAUUCAGUUUCUUCCCUGUGUAGGACUGAGGCCCCAUUUCCUGGCAGGCUGCCAACCGGGGCUGCUCUCAGCUACAUGCGGUCAUCCACAUUCCUUGUUGUGUGGCCGCCUUCAUCCUCAAGACAGAAAUGGUGCAUUGAAUUCUGCUCAUGAUUUGAAUCUCUGCCUCUGUCUCUGAGUUCUAGACUCAGAUUUAAAAGGCUCAUGUAAUUAGAUCAGAUCGGCUUAGGUAGUCUUUCUUUCUAAAAGUUAACUGUAUUAUAUAAUCUAUAACCUAAUUAUGGGAGAAAAUCCAUCGUAUUCACAGUCUCAGAAAUUAUGCUGGGUGUGUAUACCCAGGGGAUGAUGACCUUGGGGCCUCUUAGGAUUCUGCUGACUGGGGGUCCAAUUUCUGGAAUUCGCCCUGCUUCCUCCUCCCCCAGCACAUUGUGCCUGCCGUUUCCUCUCUAGGAAUACUCUUCAUUGCACCCCGUCCUCCCAUGACUGACCUUUAACUCAUACUUCUGAUCAUAGUAUGUUUGUUUGUUUGCACGGAUACAUAACAUUUUCUUCUGAAGAACUACUCACAGUGAUCAUUUUACCUUUUUGUUUUUAAGUAGCUAUUUGGUUCAUUUCUCUCGCAUUCACCCUGUAGUCUUGAGAGCAGGAGCUGUGCUGUUUCUGGUCAUCAUUGUAUGGUGCUAAGCCAGCGCCUCACAGGCAAUACAAUAUCCAUUGAAUGAACGAAUAAAUGAUAAAAAUACCCUCCCCCUUAUUCUUCCAAUCUCUUGCACAGGUUGAGACAAUCAGUGACCCCAACUUGGGAUAUGGGGGGAAUUUUUUUUUCAGGGCAUUGUAGGGGAUUCCUGAGUAAGAAUUUGAUAUGGACCAAAUGGCCCCCUGCUUUAAUUAUCAACCUGAUGCCUGAACAUUUUAUGUUAAUUUUCAGAGUCUAGAUGAUGAGAGUAUAAAGGCCAAUAUUUUUAAAUGCCACCAUCAUUGUCCCUGACAACUUAAUCUAGAACGACUUAUGCCACUUCCAGUGGCCUUGAAGGAACAUGAUAAAGGGCGGGUCUUCUCAAUGAAAGCAGAGACAAAGGAAGAAUGCACCCUAUCUGGAAUCCUAUCUGGGGUGGACAUCACAGCGUGGGUUUGGGGUAGCCAGGAAGGCAUUUGGGUGGUCUAGUUGUGAGUCAGAAAGAAGGUGCUGCCUUCCAGCUCUGUUUAAGUGCCAGAUGGACUCUAGUUGGUCUGCUGAAAUCCAUUAAUGGGUUAAACCAUGAUGAGACAACAGCUUGUGUUGAUGUGCCUUUCUAUCCAGGUUGGCUAUUUGGUGGGUGCGCGGGGCAGUGGGGGAGAUGAAGAUGAUGGGGAAACGUUUCUCUUCUCUGAAACAUCAGAACAGUUCCCUUAAUGGCCACUUAUGUUGGGGUUCCAAGGUUUUCAUUCAAAAUGAUCAUAAAAAGACACCUUAAACCCACAGGGAAAGCCCAUUCACGUAGAGCAGCUUUGAGCCAAGCCUCUGGAGUCACCAAGCUGAAAAGAACCUGAUUAAUGACAGCACCUGAGAUAAGUGGCACUUUAACCAACCUUAACUGUUGAUGUAUGAUGACAUAAUGUCCCCUCCAAUUAAUGACAAGGAUAUAAAACACCUGUAUUUAGCAGAGCAGAUGCUGCUUUUAUGGUUAGAUGCGCAGAUGAAAUUGACUUCUAAAGGACCAUCUAUAACUUACCUCCCUAUUAUUUGUUUCUGUAUUUGUUUCAUUAUGUGUGUUAUAGGUGGAGGAGGAAAUUUAACCUUAGAAUCUACACCUGUGCGGCAAAAGGGCACAAGCUCUACUGUAAUUUACCUCCCAACUUGCAGCCCAUGAUUGAGCAGGUUGGCACUGGUGAUCUGCCUCAUUUACUGAGGGUCUUUCAUGCUGUGUGAACCCCAGGUUUAUACAUAGACAUAUAUAAAGAUGAGCAAUCCUUUAAUGAAUCAUCCAAUCAAUCAAUAUACAGAAGCCACCUGUUUAAAUCCUCUAUAAGAUAAACAAGGUAUAUGUAGUUUUUAAAAUAAAAACGGUUAUUGCAUACUAAAUAUAUGCAAGAUGCCGUUUAGGUUUUUUCGGCUUACUGAAGACUUCUUUAAGGGUUGUGAUUUAUCAGGGAAAGCAAGGCAUAUACACAUGAUCAUAAAUGCUAACUCUCAGGGAGGGCUACUGUGAUACUGUGAUUUAUAGUAACAAAUAUAUAU